UAUGUUUUUUCCAUUCCCAGGUGACUCCCUAAAACAUGUCAAUGGGCCAAAUUGAGCACCAUCUUUUUAAAACCCGGGAAUUGUGCAACCUUUGUCAUGGACUCCCAACCUCUUUUCAAUAUGGAUAAUUUUGAAUACUGUGGUGGAGACUGCUGGAAAUGCAGCUACACCCAAUGGGCCAGAGAUCCAGGGAACUGGGAAAAAAGUGUCGAAGAAGCGGUGUGAUUUAAAAGAACCGUGAAACAGAAAGAACCCCAUGAAUGCAGGGUGCAGAGACCCGAUCUGGAAAACAUUACGGACGAAGAACAG